AGUGAACGCUGGCGGUAGGCCUAACACAUGCAAGUCGAACGGCAGCACAGUAAGAGCUUGCUCUUACGGGUGGCGAGUGGCGGACGGGUGAGGAAUACAUCGGAAUCUACUUUUUCGUGGGGGAUAACGUAGGGAAACUUACGCUAAUACCGCAUACGCCCUACGGGUGAAAGCAGUGGAUCUUCGGACCUUGCGCGAUUGAAUGAGCGGAUGUCGGAUUAGCUAGUUGGCGGGGUAAAGGCCCACCAAGGCGACGAUCCGUAGCUGGUCUGAGAGGAUGAUCAGCCACACGGGAGCUGGAACACGGUCAAGACUCCUAAGAGAGGCAGCAGUGGGGAAUAUUGGACAAUGGGCGCAAGCCUGAUCCAGCCAGACCGCGUGGGUGAAGAAGGCCUUCGGGUUGUAAAGCCCUUUUGUUGGGAAAGAAAAGCAGCAGGUUAAGACCCAGCUGUUCUGACGGUACCCAAAGAAGAAGCACCGGCUAACUUCGUG
rnacentral:rRNA from 1 species